AUGUUACUUGACCUUUUUCCCUUACUA
rnacentral:piRNA from 2 species